AACCAUAGAAACCUGCGGAGUACCUGCGGAAGGAUCAUUACAGAAUAAAUGUGAUAGGUUGUCGCUGGCCGUCGGGCAUGUGCACACUUGUCAUUUUUAUCUUUCCACCAAGUGCACUUUGCAUAGGACUGAAAACCUUUUGAUCAGGGGGUCACCUUUGAUUUCUGGAAACUGCUGUUGUAACUCAAUGACGGCCUUUUCUGACUUCAGUUCCUAUGAUUUAUACACACACACCAAUUG
rnacentral:misc_RNA from 1 species